rnacentral:piRNA from 8 species
GUUUCGUACGUAGCAGAGCAGCUCCCUC